UACGUAGGCAGCGAGCGUUGUUCGGAGUUACUGGGCGUAAAGCGUGCGUAGGCGGUGGUCCAAGUCUGGUGUGAAAUCUCCCGGCUUAACUGGGAGGGUGCGCCGGAAACUGGGCCGCUGGAGUACGGGAGAGGCAAGCGGAAUUCCAGGUGUAGCGGUGAAAUGCGUAGAUAUCUGGAGGAACACCCGUGGUGCAGACGGCUUGCUGAACCGUGACUGACGCUGAGACGCGAAAACGUGGGGAGCAAACAGG
rnacentral:rRNA from 1 species